rnacentral:rRNA from 1 species
AUGGGGGCUCCCAAAUGGGUGGUUGCGCCAUUGGCGCUGCUGCUCCUCCUGCAGCUCGCCGGCGCGUCCCAUGACGUCCGACGGAGCCUUGAGGCCGAGGCGGCGACGCCGUCCGUGCCGGCCUCCAUUCUUAGCCCCCUGCUCCGGACGGGCUACCACUUCCAACCCCCCAUGAACUGGAUCAACGAUCCGAAUGGUCCGCUCUACUACAAGGGAUGGUACCACCUGUUCUACCAGUACAACCCCAAGGGCGCGGUGUGGGGCAACAUCAUCUGGGCGCACUCGGUGUCGCGCGACCUCAUCAACUGGAUGGCCCUCGACCCCGCCAUCAAGCCCAGCAUUCCGACCGACCAGUACGGCGUCUGGUCCGGCUCGGCGACGAUCCUGCCCAACGGCACGGUGGCGAUGCUCUACACCGGCAUCGACCGCCCGGGCACCAACUACCAGAUCCAGAACAUCGCCUUCCCCAAGGACCCCUCCGACCCGCUGCUCCGCGAGUGGGUCAAGCCCGGCUACAACCCCAUCGCCGUCCCCGAGGCCGGCAUCAACGCCACGCAGUUCCGCGACCCGACCACCGCCUGGCACGCCGGCGAUGGCCUCUGGCGCAUGCUCGUGGGCGGGCUCAAGCCCGGCACGCUCCGCGGCAUGGCCAUCCUGUACCGGAGCAGGGACUUCAAGCACUGGGUCCGCGCCAAGCACCCGCUCCACUCGGCCCUCACCGGCAUGUGGGAGUGCCCCGACUUCUUCCCCGUGCGCGAGCCCGGGAAGACGGACGGCCUCGACACCUCCGAGUUCGGCCCGCGCUACAAGUACGUGCUCAAGAACAGCCUCGACCUCACCCGCUACGACUACUACACCGUGGGCACCUACAACAACCGCACGGAGCGGUACGUGCCCGACAACCCCACCGGCGACGUCUACCAGCGGCUCCAGUACGACUACGGCAACUUCUACGCGUCCAAGACCUUCUACGACCCGGCCAAGAACCGCCGCGUGCUGCUGGGCUGGGCCAACGAGUCCGACAGCGUCGCGCACGACAACGCCAAGGGAUGGGCCGGCAUCCACGCGAUCCCGAGGAAGAUAUGGCUGGACCCCAGCGGCAAGCAGCUGCUGCAGUGGCCCGUGGAGGAGCUGGACCAGCUGAGGGGCAAGGCUGUCAGCGUGGGUGACAAGCUCGUCAAGCCCGGCCAGCACUUUGAGGUCACUGGCCUGCAGUCCUACCAGUCUGACGUGGAGGUGAGCUUCGAGGUGUCGAGCCUGGACAAGGCGGAGCCGUUCGAUCCGGCCUACGCCAACGACGCGCAGAAGCUCUGCGGGAUGAAGAACGCCGACGUCAAGGGCGGGGUGGGGCCCUUCGGCCUCUGGGUCCUGGCCUCUGACAACCUGGCCGAGAAGACCGCCGUGUUCUUCAGAGUCUUCAAGGAUGGGCAUGGCAAGCCUCUCGUCCUCAUGUGCAGUGACCCCACCAAGUCAUCUCUCACCCCGGGUCUAUACAAGCCGACUUUUGCCGGGUUUGUCGACACCGACAUUUCGUCCGGGAAGAUCUCUCUGAGAAGCUUGAUCGACCGAUCGGUGGUUGAGAGCUUCGGCGCCGGAGGGAAGACCUGCAUCCUAUCGAGAGUGUACCCAUCCAUGGCGAUCGGGAAAGACGCACACCUUUAUGUGUUCAACAACGGGGUGACCGAUAUCAAGGUGUCCAAACUAACGGCGUGGGAGAUGAAAAAACCAAUGAUGAAUGGUGCCUAA